CAGGGUUCUUUGGGGCCCGAGGAUUCCUGAAAUCAUGGAUCACCCACCUAUGCUUUGAGACAUGCUUUAUUUUUUUUUUUUCUGGAAGCCCUGCAACUUCCCUAAAAAUUGAAUGAAUUAUAGAACAGACCUAUGGUGAAGCGACUUCCAGUCAUUUGGAAAGGAUAGGAUGAAAAGGAACCUUGGUGAUAAUUUUGAUGUCUGCAAGAUUUAGUACCAGUGUAAUGGGAUUAUCGGUAACACCUUCACUGCAGAAAAAGCCACCUGGCGCUAUAACUGGCAGCAACUGAGAACUAAUCCUUUCCCAUCUCUUGGAUGUCAUUCAUGAAGCUCAAAGCUAUUUCUGCCCUGCUAACUGUGAUUAAUUUUAUAAACAACAACAACAAAAAAUCAGGCCAAUGCUGGCAGAGUCUACAUAGAACUAUGCUUCGUGGUGUUCUGGGGAAAACCUUUCGACUUGUUGGCUAUACUAUUCAAUAUGGCUGUAUAGCUCAUUGUGCUUUUGAGUACGUUGGUGGUGUUGUCAUGUGUUCUGGACCAUCAAUGGAGCCUACAAUUCAAAAUUCAGAUAUCGUCUUUGCAGAAAAUCUUAGUCGACAUUUUUAUGGUAUCCAAAGAGGUGACAUUGUGAUUGCAAAAAGCCCAAGUGAUCCAAAAUCAAAUAUUUGUAAACGAGUAAUUGGUUUGGAAGGAGACAAAAUCCUCACCACUAGUCCAUCAGAUUUCUUUAAAAGCCAUAGUUAUGUGCCAAUGGGUCAUGUUUGGUUAGAAGGUGACAAUCUACAGAAUUCUACAGAUUCCAGGUACUAUGGACCUAUUCCAUAUGGACUAAUAAGAGGACGAAUCUUCUUUAAGAUUUGGCCUCUGAGUGAUUUUGGAUGUUUACGUGCCAGCCCUAAUGGCCACAGAUUUUCUGAUGAUUAAUGAAACUGAAGAGUCAUUAUUACAAGGCUUUCUACACUGAAGAAAAACUACAAACUUGGAACCUGAUUAUGAACUUGAAUAACUGUGGAGCUUCUAUAAACUGUAUUAUUCAUGUGAACAUUUUAUAAAUCCUGAAAGGGUUUUCCAAAGUGCUCAUCUGGUUGAAACGCAAAGCCUAAUCUUGAAUAACUACAUGCCUUUCAGGGGAACACUGGAAGCAGCCUUUGGAGGCAUCCUCCGAAACAAUAAGAAAUGCUCCUGUGGACCUAAAAUGUAUAACUGCUCUUUAAAUAAAACUUCAACUGAUUUAACUUUAUAAGCUACAGGAAACAACAAGUGAAAUGAAAUAUACUAACAUAUAUAGGUAUACAGGAGUCUCUCUCCAUGGCCACCAUAGCUGAAAAUGCGGUGGGUCACAUCUGAAGCCAGCACAGCCCUGCGUCUUACCCAAGGCCCACAGCAAGUACUGCCUGGGUACCAGUGAUGUUCAAGGCCCAACAUCUCUUUAGUCAACAGGUGAUGAAUCCUGCUAGAACUGGAUCCUUCCCUUCAAGGCAGAAGGUUCCCCUCUGGCCCAUGGUGUGUCUAGAAAUGUAGUCUAGGAGCUACAGCCUAGAAUGGGGAGCCUCAGGAUUCUGCCUGAUACCCUAUUCUACUGUGGCUGAGCUGGCAUCCAAGUUGCAAGACACAGUUGUCUUUACUCUCUACUAUCUUCACCUCAAGCAGAAGGAAGGAGUCUCUCCCAGAGUUGUAAGCUGCAUUGCCUAGGGUUGGGGGAAGGUUGAUGCAAGUACUCCCUGGGCCACCCUAGCUGGUAUCUCAUCAGCUUAUGUGGACCCCACGUCAACUGGCUCUGAGCCCAGCAUAACACGUGUCCAGGAAUUACAAUCCUUGUGGCCUAGACUGCCUUUCAAGUUUACUUACGA